rnacentral:rRNA from 1 species
UACGGAGGGUGCGAGCGUUGUCCGGAAUCACUGGGCGUAAAGGGCGCGUAGGCGGCGCGGGCAGUCAACGGUGAAAGCUCGGGGCUCAACUCCGAGUCGGCCGUCGAUACUCCCGCGCUCGAGCACUGUAGAGGCAGGUGGAAUUCCGGGUGUAGCGGUGGAAUGCGUAGAGAUCCGGAAGAACACCGGUGGCGAAGGCGGCCUGCUGGGCAGUACGCGCGCGAGG